UACGUAGGGUGCGAGCGUUAAUCGGAAUUACUGGGCGUAAAGCGUGCGCAGGCGGUUCGUUAAGUCAGCUGUGAAAGCCCCGGGCUCAACCUGGGAAUUGCGGUUGAAACUGGCGGACUAGAAUCUGGCAGAGGGGGGUGGAAUUCCACGUGUAGCAGUGAAAUGCGUAGAUAUCUGGAGGAACACCGGUGGCGAAGGCGGCAUCCUGGACCAAUUCUGACGCUGAGGAGCGAAAGCCAGGGGAGCAAACGGG
rnacentral:rRNA from 1 species